CAAGUACUCCCUCCGUCCGGAAUUACUUGUCAUCAAAAUGGAUGUGUCUAGAACUAAAAUACAUCUAGAUACAUCCAUUUCAAUGACAAGUAUUUCCGGACUGAGGGAGUACAAG
rnacentral:pre_miRNA from 1 species